GAUUAACGCUGGCGGCGUGCAUAACACAUGCAAGUCGAACGAAGUGGCGGACGGGUGAGUAACGCGUGAGUAACCUGCCUUAGAGAAGGGGAGAGCCUUUGGAAAAGAAGAAUAAUACCCUAUACUCUAAGAUGGACUUGCGUCUGUUUAGUUAGUUGGUGAGGUAACGGCCCACCAAGACAUCGAUCAGUAGCCGGCUUGAGAGAGUGUACGGCCACACUGGGACUGCGACACGGCCCGGACUCUCCGGUAGGCAGCAUUGGGUACUUUUGCACAAUGGGGGAAACCCUGAUGCAGCGACGCCGCGUGAUUUAGAAGGCCUUCGGGUUGUAAAAAUCUUUUCUAUGGGAAGCAGUACCAUAGGAAUAAGGACCGGCUAAUUACGUGCCAGCAGCCGCGGUAAUAC
rnacentral:rRNA from 1 species